GAGGAAAAGAAACUAACAAGGAUUCCCCUAGUAACGGCGAGUGAAGCGGGAAGAGCUCAAAUUUGAAAUCUGGCACUUUCAGUGUCCGAGUUGUAAUCUCGAGAAGUGUUUUCCGCGCUGGACCGCAUAUAAGUCUGUUGGAAUACAGCGUCAUAGUGGUGAGAACCCCGUAAUUGAUGCGGACGCCCAGUGCUUUGUGAUACACUUUCGAAGAGUCGAGUUGUUUGGGAAUGCAGCUCAAAUUGGGUGGUAAAUUCCAUCUAAAGCUAAAUAUUGGCGAGAGACCGAUAGCGAACAAGUACCGUGAGGGAAAGAUGAAAAGCACUUUGGAAAGAGAGUUAACAGUACGUGAAAUUGUUGGAAGGGAAACGCUUGAAGUCAGACUUGCUGUUUGGAAUUCAGCCGCAAGGUGUACUUUUCAGAUAUGCAGGCCAGCAUCAGUUUUUGGGGGUGAAAAAGGGUAUUGAGAAGGUAGCAGUUUCGGCUGUGUUAUAGCUCUUUGCUGGAUUCAUCCUUGGGGACUGAGGAACGCAGCUCACUUUUUGCACGAUCUUCGGAUUGUUCUGAGCUUAGGAUGCUGGUGGAAUGGCUUUAAACGAC
rnacentral:rRNA from 1 species